CGAAAACCGUGGAAACACGGUCCUCCCGCAAGGGACGCUAGUACAGGUGGUGCAUGGCUGUCGUCAGCUCGUGUCGUGAGAUGUUGGGUUAAGUCCCGCAACGAGCGCAACCCUUACCCUUAGUGUUUUCCCGAAAGGAUUACCCUCUAAGGGGACUGCCCCGGACAACGGGGAGGAAAGGUGGGGGAUGACGUCAAGUCCGCAUGCUCCUUACGUCUAGGGCUACACACGUCCUACAAUGGGGUCGACAGUGGGAUGCAAAGCCGCGAGGUGGAGCCAAUCCCCAAACGGCCUCUCAGUUCGGAUAGUAGUCUGCAACUCGACUACUUGAAGUCGGAAUCGCUAGUAAUGGCGGAUCAGCAUGCCGCCGUGAAUACGUUCCCGGGUCUU
rnacentral:rRNA from 1 species